UCUUCCGUAGCUCAAUUGGCUAGAGCGUCUGACUGUUAAUCAGGAGGUUCCUGGUUCAAUCCCAGGCGGGAGAG